UGCAUCGGCCGGGAAUCGUACCCGGGCCGCCCGCGUGGCAGGCGAGCAUUCUACCACUGAACCAUCACCGAUGC
rnacentral:tRNA from 1 species